GACGAACGCUGGCGGCGCGCUUAACACAUGCAAGUCGAGCGAGAACCUAGGCUUCGGCCUAGGGGACAGCGGCGAACGGGUGAGUAACACGUGGGUAAUCUGCCCUCGACAUCGGGAUAGCCCGGGAAACCGNUUAAUACCGAAUGGCCCAUCCGCUUUUCGGAGCGGCUGGAAAAGGUAGCUUCGGCCUCCGGUCGAGGAGGAGCCCGCGGCGGAUUAGCUUGUUGGUGAGGUAAUGGCNCACCAAGGCGACGAUCCGUAGCUGGUCUGAGAGGACGAUCAGCCACACUGGGACUGAGACACGGCCCAGACUCCUACGGGAGGCAGCAGUGGGGAAUCUUGCGCAAUGGGCGAAAGCCUGACGCAGCGA
rnacentral:rRNA from 1 species